rnacentral:rRNA from 1 species
GUCCACGCCCUAAACGAUGCUGACUAGUUGUUAGGGAAUUUAUUCCUGAGUAACGUAGCUAACGCGUGAAGUCAGCCGCCUGGGGAGUACGGUCGCAAGAUUAAACUCAAAGGAAUUGACGGGGACCCGCACAAGCGGUGGAUGAUGUGGAUUAAUUCGAUGCAACGCGAAACCUUACCUACCCUUGACAUGCCACUAACGAAGUAGAGAUACAUUAGGUGCCCGUAAGGGAAGUGGACACAGGUGCUGCAUGGCUGUCGU